rnacentral:rRNA from 1 species
CCAGCCCGCUCAGAAACUACAAAUGAAUUGACGGGGGCCCGCACAAGCGGUGGAGCAUGUGGUUUAAUUCGAUGAUACGCGAGGAACCUUACCUGGGCUCAAAUGUAUGUUGACGUAUUCUGAAAGGGAUACUUCUUCGGACAAUAUACAAGGUGCUGCAUGGUUGUCGUCAGCUCGUGCCGUGAGGUGUCGGGUUAAGUCCCAUAACGAGCGCAACCCCUAUCAUUAGUUGCCAUCAGGUCAAGCUGGGGACUCUAAUGAAACUGCCUACGCAAGUAGUGAGGAAGGUGGGGAUGACGUCAAAUCAGCACGGCCCUUACGUCCAGGGCGACACACGUGCUACAAUGGCCGGCACAACGGGAAGCGAGUUCGCGAGGACGAGCGGAUCCCUCAAAGCCGGUCGCAGUUCGGAUUGAAGUCUGCAACUCGACUUCAUGAAGCUGGAGUCGCUAGUAAUCGUGGAUCAGCCAAGCCGCGGUGAAUACGUUCCCGGGCCUU